rnacentral:rRNA from 1 species
GACGAACGCUGGCGGCGUGCUUAACACAUGCAAGCGGAGCGACGAACCAGGGCUUGCCCUGGGGCAGAGCCGCGAACGGGUGAGUAACACGUCGGGUUACCUGCCCCGAUGACCGGGACAACCCGAGGAAACUCGGGCUAAUACCGGAUGUGUCCGAAAGGGGAAGAGCUUCGGCCUUCCGCAUCGGGAUGGGCCCGCGGCCCAUUAGCUUGUUGGUGAGGUAACGGCUCACCAAGGCUGCGANGGGUAGCUGGUCUGAGG